rnacentral:rRNA from 1 species
UACGAAGGGGGGCUAGCGUUGUUCGGAUUUACUGGGCGUAAAGCGCACGUAGGCGGAUUGUUAAGUCAGGGGUGAAAUCCCGGAGCUCAACUCCGGAACUGCCUUUGAUACUGGCAAUCUUGAGGCUGGAAGAGGUUAGUGGAAUUCCCAGUGUAGAGGUGAAAUUCGUAGAUAUUGGGAAGAACACCAGUGGCGAAGGCGGCUAACUGGUCCAGAUCUGACGCUGAGGUGCGAAAGCGUGGGGAGCAAACAGG